CAGCAGCCGCGGUAAUACAGAGGGUGCGAGCGUUAAUCGGAUUUACUGGGCGUAAAGCGUGCGUAGGCGGCUUUUUAAGUCGGAUGUGAAAUCCCUGAGCUUAACUUAGGAAUUGCAUUCGAUACUGGGAAGCUAGAGUAUGGGAGAGGAUGGUAGAAUUCCAGGUGUAGCGGUGAAAUGCGUAGAGAUCUGGAGGAAUACCGAUGGCGAAGGCAGCCAUCUGGCCUAAUACUGACGCUGAGGUACGAAAGCAUGGGGAGCAAACAGGAUUAGAUACCCGAGUAGUCCCUGUCCUCUUAUA
rnacentral:rRNA from 1 species